GGAGCAGCUGAAGCAAGUCAUUUUAUUCUGCCUGACCUCAGGGGUUAGCCUUCAGCUGCUGGGAUUUUCAGGCCUGAUGGGACUGCAGUGACAUCCUACCAAUAACAAGCAUGGAGAAACAGGAUGAUGCAAUUUAGAGCUGGACAGCAAAUCAGAAAGAAGGCACCUGACUGGGAACAAAGAAGCUUUCUUGACCAGGCCUUUAGAUGAAGUCAUCCUGCUACAUGACUGCUGCAAAAGAAAUGCCGAUUCUGUGACUGGUGGAGGUAUAUGUGAGGGAGGAAAUGGAGCUGUCCCUUUUGUUGA